GGGGUGAUAGCUCAGCUGGGAGUAGCGUACGACUGAAGUUUCACUUUAGUCACUUAAUCGUAAGGUCGCCGGUUCAAUCCCGGCUCACCCCA
rfam:Aspergillus lentulus DNA, contig: Alt12, strain: IFM 54703.